rnacentral:rRNA from 1 species
GCAUAUCAUUAAAGCGGAGG